UGUAUUUUACUGGAAUUCCUGACUUUAUUGGAGAUGGAACCUCACUUCUAGCGCAGGCUCAAGUGACUGUAUUUGCUGAAAUUUCUUGGAGAGGAGGAUGUGUAUUAUCUAUGCUCACUAAAAAAAGUCUCCAGCCAGGGGUCUUAUUGGGGUCCUGACAUACAAGCUUUUUCUGUUGCCUAGCUUUGCCUUUUUCCUUAAGCAUGCAGCGAGGUUUGCUCUAGUAUCAGUCACAGCAGUUAUGUUGUCUUGUUCAUAUUUGUUUAUUAUGCUUUUAGCACCAGUUUCUGUAGUUGUAAGGUGCUUAUUUUGGAUCUUUGAGACACUGUGUUGCAUUCAUCAUGCUUUUUCUAUUGGCCAGCUGCCUCUAUAAUUCCCUAAAGGGCUCUGUAGGUAAGGAGGUAGUUUGUAUCACUUCACACCUGAGCUUCAAUGUGGCAACCUAUAAGCAGCAGACACGUCAAGGAGGAGCAACUGAGGUAAAGGAACAGAAGAUGGGAAUCAGCAGGGGCAGGCCACGGUUCUGGGCAGCACCUCGGCAUGUGGUUUUCAGGUGCUGUAAGCAUCCUCAGCUCGGAGGGGCAAACCCGUAUCCCAGUAAGCGGUCUGAGAAGGUGCCACACUGGCUGUUUUUGGAAUUGGAUGAGGAUUUGAGUACCACAAGGGAUGACCACUACAGUGUCCAUCUCCAGAAGGCACAAGCGAGCAGAACACCACGGCCCUUCUGAGGAGGGGUGGUAUUGUGGGAGAGGUUGGCGUUGACCGGUCCGAUGGCUUACUGAUGGCGCUGCUUGUUUAUGGGUUAUUUUACGCAGAUGAUGUAGCGGAACCAGGCGACUGCAGGACUGUCGCAGUUAGCCGACGUGCGGUAGAUGUAGACAGACAACAUACGCACCAAAGAGCAGCAGAGGAGGCGAGCGGAGCGCUGUGCAAAGCUGGAUAUUGACACCGUAGGAUAUCGACACGGGAGGUGACUUAGGCCAGAUGGGCGCAAGCCUCAGCGUGGCAACAUGUAAAUGGCAGAGGCUGGGAGGACAAGCGGCUGAGGUGCCGCAGGGAGCCUCGGAGGGGCAAAGCCGCGUGACGACGAGCGGUCCGAGAAGGUGCUGUGUGGCCACCCCUUUGGAACUGGAUGCACAUUUGAGUGCCACAAGCGAGGACAGCCAUGGUGUUCGUCUCUGGAACGAGCAAGUGAGAGGAGAGCCACGGUGCUUCUGAGGAGGGUUGAUGAAGAGGAACCGGGCAACUGCAGGAACAUCCCGAUUGGCCAAUGUGUGGUGUUGAUGUUUUUGUCGCCGAUGGUUCCGGAUUCCCUGAAAGCUAAGUUGAGGGACUGUGGCUGGGGAGGGAGUGGGAAGAGAAUGGGACAAGUCUGAGGGUUGCGGGAGAGGGGUUUUAUGGUUAGCGUAGCAGGGCUGAGGGCUGUCUGGGAGCAGUCCCCCUUGGGCGGGCCAAGGGAGCGGGUUACUUGUCAGCACGAUGCUAGACUGGGCAGGGCAGUUCCAGCCUGUGUCUGUGGUAUGUUUGUCGUGUGUCUUAGCCCUUCCUCGGGUCUCAAUGCCCUCUUUGCGCUCAAGGGGCGCAGCAUGCUUCUCGGGCACCAUCCCUAGGGUCUUGAAUGCCUGUACUCAUCGGUGCAGUGCCUAUCGGGGGCUUCUGUUCUUGCCUAGCAAGCUUACAGCGGGGAUCGGUCUUGCAUCUCGGAAGCUUCCGGCGGGUCCUCUUUUUGCAGCACAAUACCUGGCUGCAUCAGGAGCUUUGCUCUCCAGCUGUCCCUUUUCAGGGACUGGGGCUUCUUCCCCGCAUCCUGAUGUUCUUAGGUCUUGAAGACAGGCCUCUUGCCACAUCCCUCAUCCUGGUUUUGACGGUAGCUUCUUAUAACGGGCCAUCAUGGUCAAUUCUUUUCUGGGCUUGCCAUAGAACUUCCUCACCUGGGCGUUGUGUCCCGUAGGUCAUCUUGCUCAGCAGCCUCUCUGGUCCAGGAGUCAUUGUUCUUGCUGCGCGUUUUUCUCAUGUCUGAGUUGCAUUGUUUGUAGUGUUCUGUGUAGCGUUGGUCUCUGUGUGUGUCUUGGUCGUGGAGCUGCUCUGCCCAGGGUUGUCAAGUACAGGGUUGGGUGGAAUAGCAAUGAGAGUGUAUGGUUAGUGUGUUGAUAUGGCCAGACUGCUUGGGCAAAGGUUGCAUAGUCGCCUCGGAUCGGGCAGCCGUCGGCAGGCUGUGUGGAGCGUCAUUUCCGUAGUGUGCUGUGGAGAUGAUGGGAGCCACCUGGGAGGGGGGUGUUCAGAGGUAGCGAAAGCAGACUGAACCUCCAAGGUGUCAAAGGCUUGUCUGUGUGGCGCUUAAAGUUUGGGGGUGUCUUUUAAUGGUUGUCUGUAGUUUGGGCUCGGGAUGGUAUUCCCAAACUGGAACAAGAACUCUGGAAUUGUUUGGCUCUCACUCAACAUCCUGGUGACUUGUUUAAUAACUUGAGUUUGGUUUUUUUUUUUUCAGAUGCAGACAGAGAAGAUGCACACCAAAGAGCAGCACAGGAGGAGAGUGGAGUGCUCCAUAACAAGUGGUUUUCUAUCUGGAAGGUGUGAAGCUGGACAUCGACCCCAUAGGAUAUGGACACGGGAGGUGACUCGGGCCAGGUGGGGUGCAAGGACGGCAGCCCAAAAUGACGGAGGCC